AGGAGGGCGCCGAAGGUGGGGCUAGUGACUGGGGUGAAGUCGUAACAAGGUAGCCGUACCGGAAGGUGUGGCUGGAUCACCUCCUUUUAGGGAGACCUACUUACUAGAUGAAGGACUCACGACAUUUUCCUUCCUAGCUAAGUCAUCCCAAGGUCGGUCAAGGCUUCUUUAGCACUCUCUCAAACUAUUAUUGGCUCGGUUUUUGACCAUGGAGUUAGAACUCAGCACUGCUUCAAGUAAGCAACUGCUGGACUUCUUGUCCAGACCAAAACCUUGAAAACUGCAUA
rnacentral:misc_RNA from 1 species